rnacentral:tRNA from 1 species
GGAGAUGUGGCUCAGCAGUGGAGCACUUGCCUGAUAGGCAUGACCCUGGAUUCCAACCCCAGCAUUAGCA